GGGAAAUGUAAUGGGGUUAAGAUGGGAUGGGAAGGUGGGUGGUGUAAAUUCAAACUGAGACAGGUUGUUACUGAGGGUAAUUAAAUCACUGCAAAGUCAAUUAAAAGUGUGUGUGUGUGUGUGUGUGUGUGCAGGAGGCUGGUUGGAUUUUGUGAGGCUAAGCGACUGCACACAGUAUCAUCAGGAAACAUGUUAAUCUCUCA